rnacentral:hammerhead_ribozyme from 1 species
ACUUCCCUGAUGAGUCAUAAAUAGGACGAAACGCGCGUCUUGAAU